AUAGGCUCUUCUCAUAUGCUUAGACGUACUCUCAUGACAAGUGUAAAGGGGGCCUCUGGCGGGCGCUCGCGAAUACGCUUGGGAACCCGCGUCCGUUUGGGGACGGCCCGCCGAGGCAACAUUAGCAGUGUCGACAGGAGGUGAGUGAGGGCCCCGACGGGGCACAACUCGGUAAUGAUCCUUCCGCAGGUUCACCUACGGAAA
rnacentral:misc_RNA from 1 species